AACGAACGCUGGCGGCAUGCCUAACACAUGCAAGUCGAACGAGACCUUCGGGUCUUGUGGCGCACGGGUGCGUCACGCGUGGGAACCUGCCCUUAGGUUCGGCAUAACUCAGAGAAAUUUGAGCUAAUACCGGAUGAUGUCUUCGGACCAAAGAUUUAUCGCCUUUCGAUGGGCCCGCGUUGGAUUCGCUUGUUGGUGGGGUAAAGGCCUACCAAGGCGACGAUCCAUAGCUGGUCUGAGAGGAUGAUCAGCGACACUGGGACUGAGACACGGCCCAGACUCCUACGGGAGGCAGCAGUGGGGAAUAUUGGACAAUGGGGGAAAGCAUGAUCCAGCAAUGCCGCGUGAGUGAUGAAGGCCGUAGAGUUGUAAAGCUCUUUUACCCGAGAUGAUAAUGACAGUAUCGGGAGAAUAAGCUCCGGCUAACUCCGUG
rnacentral:rRNA from 1 species